rnacentral:rRNA from 1 species
AACGAACGCUGGCGGCAGGCCUAACACAUGCAAGUCGAACGCCCUAGCAAUAGGGAGUGGCAGACGGGUGAGUAACGCGUGGGAACCUUCCCAUUGGAACGGAAUAGCCCAGGGAAACUUGGAAUAAUACCGUAUAAGCCCGCAAGGGGAAAGAUUUAUCGCCGAUGGAUGGGCCCGCGUAGGAUUAGCUAGUUGGUGAGGUAAUGGCUCACCAAGGCGACGAUCCUUAGCUGGUCUGAGAGGACGAUCAGCCACACUGGGACUGAGACACGGCCCAGACUCCUACGGGAGGCAGCAGUGGGGAAUAUUGGACAAUGGGCGCAAGCCUGAUCCAGCCAUGCCGCGUGAGUGACGAAGGCCUUAGGGUUGUAAAGCUCUUUUGGCGGGGACGAUAAUGACGGUACCCGCAGAAUAAGCCCCGGCUAACUUCGUGCCAGCCGCCGCGGUAA